GUUACAUAUGGUAUCAGAGAUGAGAAGGAGACAGAGUUCAUACCCGUCACUGUCCGUUCCCUUGCCAGAAUUAUACCACUCGAACCAGAGGUAACCUAAAGGUGCACGCAGGAAUUGAGAUACAGACAUAGAGAGAACUACCACCGGUUUGGAGAUGGCAAAGAUAGAGAAAUAAGAGAGAAUCUGAAUUCGUUAUUUGGAAAGAGCAUUGGUAACAAGAGAAAUCUAACAUCUUCUUGUCAGAACGCCAGAAACCUUUAUCGGGUGAUACUAUUGCACUUCCUAUUUUUUUUUUGGCAACACAAAGCUUGGGGGAGGUUUGAUAUUUUGGGUCUUCUAAGAUAGAAGUUCAAUAGCAGUUUUGGGUAAAUGGGGACAACCAAAUUAUGAAUCAAUCUUUUGCGGUGAUGUUAACAACUACACCAUUGUUCAAAUGAACUCACAAAACUCCAGGUCUGAACUAAAGAUUUUGAGAUAAAUGAUAUGGUCUCCAUGUAUCUUUUAGUUUUGUUUUUAAUUUUUCCAUUCCACUUAUCUUUCAACCUUGCAGUGCCACAACUACACAAUUGAAGAGCUCAUCACAAAGAGCUUACAACGUUGACAUUGUCCUCUUUAGCAAUCAGAUUGGCCAAAUGAAUACGAAGAAAGAUUGCUCGGAAUGAAAGAUUAUGGGUGAGAAAGUUGGAUACUUUUAAACCCAAUUUUGUUGGGUAAGCAAUUGUGGAGAUUUGAGCAGGAAAGAAAUCACCUUUGGAAGUGAGUUUCUUGAAUAAAGUAUGGGGAGGUUAGGGACAAUUGACAUAGGAUUUAGCAAUUGCAACCUUUGGAGAAACAAAAAGGUAGGAUGGGAUAGAUUUGCAGGACAUGUGACUUUUGUUAUUGGGGAUUGUAGAAAAACAAGAUGUGAAAAUUGACUGGGAGACCAUAUGCAACAAGAGCAUGAUUUCAUAUCACUUUAACUUAGCCUCAUUUGAUCAAUUGCUUCCAAGGAUAUUCUCAGCAUUCUCUUUUAGCUAGGAUUUUUUUCACCUUAAUUGCUAGAAAUAUUUUGUAUACAUCCCAAGGGAUGUUACCAUUAACCUUUUUUAUUUGAGAAAAAGUUACCGUUCACUUUAGUUGCUUAUAAUAUGCUUAAAAGAAAUCUAUUUGUAAGAAUCAUAUUGUGAUG